rnacentral:rRNA from 1 species
AUGUGCCUCCCACGAACCUAUGGAUCGGGAGCGGUGCUUCAUAUUGUGAUGUGCCACCUCAGUGCCGCCGGGCAUCGGCCAUUGCUCCCAGCGAUGCUGGAGGCUCUGCCCCGCUCCCUCCGGCCGACAAAGUGUGGAUCUACAGGGAGGUGGAAGCUGCACUGGAGAGAAAGGUCAGAUACGGGAGAAGAGAGAUGGGAGAAUAAGGAGAGGAGGCGGAGGUCGGCAGGCGACUUGGGAGACGACGGCGGCUCAUCAGAGUCUCUGAUGGCAGCGGGGUCGCGUGGGCCGCUGCCGCCUGGCACCACCUACGGCCGCGGUCGCUGUUGGCAGCACCUUCGCCCGUCUUCGCCUACGCUGACGCCGCCUCUGGUGGCCAUCGGCCCCUCCGCCCCACCCACGGAAGUGACAGUGACUCCAUAUAUUUUGGCAGCUGAAAUGGUCGAGAAGUUUGAGUCAGGGACUAGAGAUUUGGGCAGCCACUACAGCAGAUCAAUGUCUAAUGAGGAUGCAGCAACUGCCUCACAGAGAAGGCCCAAACUUAUGCUAACAAGGCCAAAGGAACCUGAGUUUCAGACUACCCACAGGGUCCGAGCAGUCAGAAUGAAAAGCUCUUCAGAACUAGAGGAGGAAAUGCGGGCCAAGAUCCCAAAGUUCAGAGCAUGGCCAUUUAACAAAAAGAUAGCUGAAGCUCCGUCUUUCCCUCCUCUUCCAAGGACAGCUCCACAGCUUCCCGAUUUCAAUAUUCUUGAGAGGAAGGGCGGUAUUGGUGUUUUUGCCCAUCCGAAGGCCCAGGCAACAGAGCCCAAGGAGUUCCAUUUUCGUACUGACGACCUCUUGGGACCUCCUGCAGUUGCGGAUCUUCUCGACAAGCUUUCUCUGUACUCUGAAUCUUCUUCCUACAAUGACAAGAGAGAUAUGCCGGGACUGACAAUACCCAAACCUUUCAAUCUACAUACAGAUGUGGCUGCUGAUGAAUCAUGUCAAUGUGGCAGAACACCGUGUAUAUCAAAUAUCUUCAGAUCCACCACCUUAAAUGGUGAUGACAAAGAUGCAAAGCACUCUGCAGUAGAGUUUAAGUACCAGCUGUGGUUAAGGAGGAUUCCCGCCAGCACCAUCUCACUGCUGGCCUGUGUAAUCAAUUUAUGUUUCCAACCUUUUUGUUUAGAAACAAGAAGCUUGAUGAGCAAGGAGUGGGCUUCCGUCGUCUCCCACGCCCGUUGCCUCGCACGGCGGGCACGCCACGCCAUACUAGCGUCGCACGACGCCCAUGCGUUCAUCUACGCCUCGACGCUCCAACGAAGCAGUUGCGCAUCUGCCGCCGCACCGCCUCCGGUGAGGCACCGGGACACACCUCGCGGCGGAUCCAUGUGCCAUUUGGGUGGAAGCAAUGGAUCCCGGCGGAAAGAGUAUGAGCGCUACCGUCAGGCGGCCUCCUCCCGGGAGCGGCGGCGUCAUCUCCUCCUUGGGGCCAUGUGCGACGAGCUCCAGAUCAAUGGAUCUGGAAGUGUAGGGCUCGGAUCCUCUACCUGCCAUGCCGGAGAAGGCUAA